rnacentral:lncRNA from 1 species
GGGUGACCCAUGGGCAACAAUGAAAGCCAGGAGUGCAAGUUCUGUCCCAAGCUGAGGUCCAAGGGCAGGACUGAAGUGAGGUUCCAGGGCACAGAGCUGGGAUAUGGUGGCAAAACAAAGAAGGCAGAAGGUGAGCAGAAUGCCCAGAACAAGUCUGGAGCAGCCCCAGUAGCAGCCAGGGCUUUGAGGGCUUGCUGGGUUUAUUUAAAGGGCAUGGAGAGGGAUGGACUGGGCAACGUCAUGGGAGCCUUGUGUGCCAGGCUAAGGCAGCUAGACAUUAAGGGUUUGGGAUAGAAACCACUGGAGCCUUUCUUUCCCAGGAGUGACAUGAUUGGGUCUGCAUUUACAGACUGCUCUGAAAGGAGCAAGUGCAUGGAGUGGAAUGGAGGGAAUGAGGAUGGAGACCAGUGGGUAACCGAGGGGGUGGGGUAUAGGAGACGUGGGUCGGAGGGUUGACAGUUGUGUUAUCUUAGAUCAUGUACCAUGAGAGCCAAGCAUGUCAGUACAGUUAGCAAUUUGUUUAUUGUUGUGGGAUCCCAGGCCUGAAAUGCAGUGAUCGCUGAUGUGAACUUUUGAGGUUGGAUAGUAAAUGUGUUUACAGCGGCUGUGUAAGGGGUGGGAUGUCAAAAGUCUCAUGAGAAAGCAUUCCACUUGCCCAACUCUUUUAGUGAGUCAAUUCUCUAAAUUACAGAGCUAUUUCAGUGAAUGAAUCAGUAAUUUCUAGAAGUUGAUAGUUUGUCCAGUAGUUUCUUUUGAAGUCUCCAUUUUUCUUGAGUUUUGUCUACAUGUAAAAUUGAUUCACCCACACUCCUACCACACUUAUACCACUUCCUCCUCCUCAAUUUUCCCGUAUGUAUGUUCUAAAGUGUUUCUUGAGUAUCCUCUAUGUGUGCCUAGGCACUGAUCUGGGUGCAGCGGAUGCAGAAGACAAGGUGGCAUUUGAGCAGAGCUUUAAAUGUCAUGAGAAAGUGAGUCUCAUCAGUGUUUAGGGGUGAAAAUAUUCCAGGUCUGCCCUCUGGGGAACAGUAGCUUCCAAAAGAAGCCUGGUGUGUCUGUGGCAGAGCCAGGAGCAAGGAGGAGGCUAGAUUAGAGUGAGUGAGGGCAGUAGGUUAGAAGGGUCAGGGUGAAUCUUGGCUGGCCUUGGAUUCCUGCAUUGGACUCUCCAUGUGAUGGGUAGCCACGUGGAAGGUUUGAGCAGUUGGACCACAGAGCAUCUAAGGUGUCUGAAAGGGUGACUGGCUGCUCUGGAGAUGUGAAUGUGAGCAGGGAGACCAGCUGGGCUUCUUGGUGUCUGGGCAAGAGGUGAUGGUGGUUAGACAGGAAUUCUCAAAGUAUGGCUCCUGAACCAGCAGCAUCGGCAUCAUUUGGAGAUUUGUUAAUUCUGGGCCCCAUCAAGAACUACUGAAUCAGAAACUCUGAGGAUGAGGGCCCACAAAUCUUUUCUAAAAAAGUGCCAGAAGAUUCUAAUAUAAGCUUACCUUCCAGGGCCACUGCUGGGAAAAGGUGGGAAGAGCUUGUCAGAUCUGGGAUACAUAGAGAGAAAGCUUUUGGGGCUUGCUGAUGGCAUGGAUCUGGUGUGCAUGCAGAGGAAUCAAGAAUGAAUCUUGUUAUGUUUGAGCAAAUGGUGAGGGAAUGCAGCAAAGCAUGGUGAUUUUGAACAUUAGUUUGAGGUAGUCCGUCUGGGUUCAAGUCCUAAUUCUGUCACUAAGUACCUAUGUGACUUUGGGCAGUUUACUUCAUGUCUUCUGUGAAAGCAGACUGAAACGAUGUUUUAGGUGCAAUGAUGCCCAGAAGACCCAAGAAGGGCUUCUGUGUCAUUUCCCAGGAAGGAAUUAAUGAGGAGGUUGCCACUGUGGGCAUUUGGGGCUCAGCCUGACUGGGAACCCUCUGAGACCCUAUGUGGUUCCUACUUCAGAACUGUCAUCAGAAAAGGGGAGAAAUAUGAGCUAUUUAUCCAGUAACUCUUGUCUUAAUUGGUUAAGGUUGUUCCUAGGGCAUUCCUUUUCAGGAGCUUCCAGACCUGUAUGUGCCUCUGACCAGAAAAUGCUCUCAGAAAGGUAGAGGAACUGCCUAUAGCAAAAUAUGAGUAGGUCACUGACAGUGUCUGCAGCACAAAAUUCUCUGUGCCUCGCUUUUCUUAUUUGGAAAAUAUGAAUGACGGUAAUAAAACAUCCCUUAUAGAAAUGUUGUAAGGAUUAAAUGUUGGGGUAUUUGAAACUCUUGGAGCUUGUGCCAUAUGCAUACUAAACACUCAGUGAAUAUCAGUUACUGUUUUUAACAAGAUAAGAAAUAUGGUGUGAACUUGGGAGGGAGGGAAUUUAAGAGUUCUGUGUUGGACCUGUUAUGUGUGAUUUCAGGAAGGCAGUGGAAUGUAAAGCUGGAGUUGGGGAAAGGUUGAAACUGGAGAUAUGAAUUGGGGAGACAUUAUCAGUGACAGUAAGGCUACAAGACCAGGUGAGAUCACCUGUGGAGACAAGACCAGGUGAGAUCACCUGUGAAGACAAAUAAUGCAGGCUUGAGGGCUCUUUAACCUUAAGUGUGUCAUCCAGUUGCCUCUUUCUCUAGCUCUUGAAUCGGCUCUUGCUCAUCUGUCCACCACCCCCAUUAAAAAAUAGGUUGUCUUCUUUCUUUUCUUUCUUCUUCCCUCCCUCUCUUCCUCCUUCCCUUCCUUCCUUCCUUUUUUAAAAUAAAAAAGCCAUUGAAUAAGGUCAAAUGGGGAUGCUAGCUUGGGGAAAGUCAAGUCUGGCAGGGCCAAGAGAUUGGCUACACCCAGAGCCCUAAGAUAAUAGGAGGUAAGCUUCUUGCCAUUGGAAAAGACAAGUACGGACAGAAACAAGAGAAGCUAUAAUGAAUGAGGCCUGAGAGAAUGGAAAUGAGAGUAUUGGUGUAAACCCAAUGGCACAGAAAUAAAUAUGGAGAUAAAUGUGCAAGUGUGUGUGUGUGUGUGUGUGUGUG